GACGAACGCUGGCGGCGUGCUUAACACAUGCCAGUCGAACGCUGAAGCACCAGCUUGCUGGUGUGGAUGAGUGGCGAACGGGUGAGUAAUACGUGAGUAACCUGCCCUUGACUCUGGGAUAAGCCCGGGAAACUGGGUCUAAUACUGGAUGCUACAUGUCACCGCAUGGUGGUGUGUGGAAAGGGUUUACUGGUCUUGGAUGGGCUCACGGCCUAUCAGCUUGUUGGUGAGGUAAUGGCUCACCAAGGCGACGACGGGUAGCCGGCCUGAGAGGGUGACCGGCCACACUGGGACUGAGACACGGCCCAGACUCCUACGGGAGGCAGCAGUGGGGAAUAUUGCACAAUGGGCGAAAGCCUGAUGCAGCGACGCCGCGGGAGGGAUGACGGCCUUCGGGUUGUAAACCUCUUUCAGCAGGGAAGAAGCCACAAGUGACGGUACCUGCAGAAGAAGCGCCGGCUAACUACGUG
rnacentral:rRNA from 1 species